rnacentral:tRNA from 1 species
CGCGGGGUAGAGCAGUUGGUAGCUCGUCGGGCUCAUAACCCGGAGGUCAUCGGUUCGAAUCCGAUCCCCGCAACCA